GAUGAACGCUGGCGGCGUGCUUAACACAUGCAAGUCGAACGGAAAGGCCCAAGCUUGCUUGGGUGCUCGAGUGGCGAACGGGUGAGUAACACGUGGGUGAUCUGCCCUGCACUUUGGGAUAAGCCUGGGAAACUGGGUCUAAUACCGGAUAGGACCAUCGUUUAGUGUCGGUGGUGGAAAGUUUUUCGGUGUGGGAUGAGCUCGUGGCCUAUCAGCUUGUUGGUGGGGUAAUGGCCUACCAAGGCGUCGACGGGUAGCCGGCCUGAGAGGGUGUACGGCCACAUUGGGACUGAGAUACGGCCCAGACUCCUACGGGAGGCAGCAGUGGGGAAUAUUGCACAAUGGGCGCAAGCCUGAUGCAGCGACGCCGCGUGGGGGAUGACGGCCUUCGGGUUGUAAACUCCUUUCGCCAAGGACGAAGCGUUUUGUGACGGUACUUGGAGAAGAAGCACCGGCUAACUACGUG
rnacentral:rRNA from 1 species